CUGACACCGUCCACCAAAGAACCAAAGGCGACCGGAAGUGAAGGGCGGGACCGGAACCGGCUGACGAACCGGAAGUGGGUGCCGCAGGGGCCACCGACGCUGAUCAUUUCGGGGGCUCAGAAUGUUGCCGAAUCUAAGAGGAACCUGAGGAGCGUCAGGAAAGGGAAGGGGCAGCCUGCUUGACUCGGAGACCCAGGAAGCACAUGUGAAUAUGAGAGCUGCCAAUCACAUUACUACUUUGCAUCGUAUCUCAUCUCCACUUUCCCAUCACAUCCCCAUUACUUUCCCCCCUUGAAUGCAAGGAAAGCCAGUUACCCCGACAAAAGAAUUUAAGAAUUAAAUGGAAAGUCAGAGCA